UCCAGGGUAACUCAGAUGGUAAAGUAUCUGUCUGCAAUGCAGGAGACCUGGGUUGGAUCCCCAGGUCAGGAA
rnacentral:tRNA from 1 species